rnacentral:misc_RNA from 1 species
AAAUAUUUAUCUUGUUUGCUCUUCUUUCGUUCCACCAAUAGUUUGUUGAAUAGGGCAUUUUUGAGCGGUUUUGAAUAUACACGAAACUCCAUUGAAUGAUCUCGAUUUUAGAUUUGUAGUGUUUGUGAAAAUUUGUCUUGCCAGACGCUACUGUCUGCAGAAUAUUGAGACAAAUCGUAUGAUUUUCCUUACUUAUGUAUGUUUUUCGUGGUAUUUACCGUGUUAUUAAUUCGUAUAUGUAAUGUAAUGUAAGCUAUUGUUAUUUUGAAAGGUGUUAACUGGGUGCCCAUAAGACUACUUAUUAUUAUAUGUAUAUUUUGCAUUUGAGUAGUAUCGAUUUAAAUACAUGUUUAUUUUUCUCUAAAACCAUUGCAUUCCAUAUAUUCUACAAAAACCGCCAUCUUAACAAGUAAAAGACUGACAAAUCAUUUACUGAUGCUUGAUGAAAAAUGUCAUUUAAAUUCAUGCACAAAAUGUAUGUGCCUAAAAGAAGUUCUACUGUGAUAAUCGUUAUGAAAAUAAAAUGGCUUUUGUUCU